GCUGCGCAUGCGUCCCCCGGUCCGGUGUGACCCGGGAUGGGCGCUGGGCGGGGCUGUCCACAGAAGCGCUGGUGAGGCUCGCCUGGCAGCGUCUGGUAGUAACCGCUUUCAGUAAUGACUUUGUGAAUGCAUCAAACGCUGGUAUUAACUGUCCGUGCUGGGCACUGGGCAGGCAUUCUGUCAGUGCCUUGGGACUGAGGCGCGUCACCUUCCCUGGAAGAGCCAAGAUAGUAUCCGAUAGAUGCUGCAAAGGCGCACGGAACUGCAGAAAUGGAGGGGACUCUGGCCUUCCGCCAGCCCUUCCCUCCAGCUGCCACGUCACCAGCACAGAUACAGAGUCCAAUGAUGAGGUCCAUGUGUGAGGAACUGAGGUAUGUCCUACCAGCAGCCACGAGUGAGAGCCACCUAGGGGGGCAGAUCCUUCAGCCCUAGGCACACCUUCAGAUGACUGCAGCCCCAGCUGACAUCUUGACUGCAACCUCAGGAGGGAUCUUGAGCCAGAACCACCCAGCUAAGCCACUCCUACAUCGCUGGCUCUCAGAAACUGGUGGAUAAUAAAUAUUUUACUGUUUUAA